UCGUGAUUGGUCAGUCGCUCAGUACGGUUCUCGGAAAUGUCCCGCCCCUUUUACCAUAUUGGGAAUGCAGCUACUGGCUCCGAGGGGGAGCAAAAACAUCGGUAUGCAAACGGAAAUGGCAACUUCACCAAUCUGACAGAGAGGAGGAACAAACACAACAACCUUUGCCACGAAGGCAUGAGCACGACGUUUCAGUGUUGUAGGUAUUUAUUUUGCAGCAUACGUUAGCCUCUUCCAAUUUCACUGACUGGAGCUACCAGCAUAUUUCCCUAAUCCAAAAAUAUAUAUCUUACUUGUGGCUUCACAAAGUUUGGCUUUAUUACAAUAUGAUUAUUGACCACAAAUGUGUUCUGUACAAUACAUUUUAUUGUAUUUACAUUAGUACUGUACGUUGUUUAUUGCAGCGACUCACCUUGUUCUGCAUUGUAUAUCACCUCCUUGAUGUGAUUAAAAAUUCAAUGAGCAAUUGUAAGUAUCAAUGACAUCAUAGACUUACUUUGACUACAAAAGCCCAGGUGAUAAUCACGUGUUUGUUGGAUCAAUAUCUCAUGCAAUAAUGUUUCCUCCUCUGUCAUUAUUUUCCUUCUUAUUGAACAUUAUUUCAUUUUAAUCAGUAUCUUCUUCUUUCAUCAGGAGAAUGAAUCCGCUGCCUGUUCCUUGUACCAAAAACAUCCAGGACUGUUUAAACCCAUAUACACUUCAAAACAUCCACAACAUCUUCAGAGGAGAACAUCACAGAGAACUGCAGAAGAGCUGUGCAGACACUUGGCAGUGGUUGGAGUGGUUAUCCGGUCGUGUGUCGUCCUGAGGAUUCACCCCGAGUUUCCUGACCCGACUGGACAGUAUGUUGGCUUCCACCCGCCCCUUGACUACACCUGGACACGUGUCGAGCCACCCCUCCUUCUUUUUUCGAGUC